rnacentral:rRNA from 1 species
GAAGGCCAGGCUGAAGACUUUGCCGGAUUAGCUGAGAGGUGGUGCAUGGCCGUCGUCAGUUCGUACUGUGAAGCAUCCUGUUAAGUCAGGCAACGAGCGAGACCCACGCCCACAGUUGCCAGCGUACUCUCUGGAGUGACGGGUACACUGUGGGGACCGCCGCUGCUAAAGCGGAGGAAGGAAUGGGCAACGGUAGGUCAGUAUGCCCCGAAUAUCCCGGGCUACACGCGAGUUACAAUGGUUGGUACAAUGGGUAUCUACCCCGAAAGGGGACGGGAAUCUCCUAAAACCAAUCUUAGUUCGGAUUGAGGGCUGCAACUCGCCCUCAUGAAGCUGGAAUCCGUAGUAAUCGCGUUUCAACAGAACGCGGUGAAUACGUCCCUGCUCCUU